CCAUGCUGCUGCUCUGCCUAUGGAGUAGCCAUUCUUUAUUCCCUUACUUUCUUAAUAAACUCGCUUUCACUUUAUGGAUUCAACUGUAAUUCUUUCUUGUGUGAGAUCCAAGAACCUUCUUGUAGGGUCUGGAUUGGGACCCUUUUCUGGUAACAUCUUCCUGGUGACCAUGAAGGGACAAUACUGAAGAGACCCCUGACCCUAAGGAAAUAGACUGCAGCACCAAUGGGCCAACUUUGGUGAUCUCUGGCUGCUGCUCAGAAGAAACAAGAGGGAGGGAUGAAUAAUGUAAAACUCUGGAUCAAUAUUCUAAUUCUGAGCCUCUAUUGGAAUCAGCUAGCAACCACAUAUCAGCUUGGUUUCAACAGUUUCCCAGUUCAUGCUGCUGAGAAGUUCAGAGUCAAACCUGAAUCUCACCUCUGCAAAGAGCACAGGACUCCAUGGCAAACGUUGUAUAUACGCAAGUCAUCCCUGGCACCACAUUGAUUUACUGCACCAGGCUUUCUUCAUUGUGAUGAUGUUCUCUCUCUUUUCUAAAAAAAAAAUAAAAAUAAAAUUUAAAAAAUC
rnacentral:lncRNA from 10 species